CGAGCACGCGCGUGUGGCAUAUCAAUAAGCGGAGGAAAAGAAACUAACAAGGAUUCCCCCAGUAACGGCGAGUGAAGCGGGAAGAGCUCAAAUUUGAAAUCUUAAAGGGUUUCCCUUUACGAAUUGUAGUUUAAAGAAGUGUUUUCUGUUGGAGUUUCGGUAAAAGUUCUUUGGAAUAGGACAUCAUAGAGGGUGAGAAUCCCGUAUUUGACCGUUACUUUCCAGCUGUGUGAUACACUUUCAGAGAGUCGGAUUGUUUGGGAAUGCAGUCCAAAAUGGGUGGUAAAUUUCAUCUAAAGCUAAAUAUUGGCGAGAGACCGAUAGCGAACAAGUACCGUGAGGGAAAGAUGAAAAGAACUUUGAAAAGAGAGUUAAACAGUACGUGAAAUUGUCAAAAGGGAAGCGUUUGACACCAGUGUUGUUUUUCCGAAAAUCAAUUACGAAUGUUUUGUUUUUGAGGAGUUAUGACUUCAUCGGCUUGCUCCUUUCUUUACGAAACUUUCUUAAUGCACUUUUCGGUUAACAAGUCAACAUCAAUUUCUUUUGUUGUAAAAGGGUAUGAGGAAGGUGGCUUACUUUUCGGCGUAAAGUGUUUAUAGCCUUGUAGCCUCUGCAAUCGGAGAGAUUGAGGCCAGCAGCGUAGACAUCCUUCUGGGGUUAGAUACGCUUGUGCUAAGCUAUAGCCUUGUAUAGACAACUUGUUGACUAUGCUCAGUCUUGUAGCUUACUCGCUUAUGCUAUUUUACCUACGCUUAGGAUGUUGAGCGCAUGUCUCUCUCU
rnacentral:rRNA from 1 species